rnacentral:rRNA from 1 species
CCGGGUUGCGGACAGUGUCUGGUGGGUAGUUUGACUGGGGCGGUCUCCUCCCAAAGAGUAACGGAGGAGCACGAAGGUUGGCUAAUCCUGGUCGGACAUCAGGAGGUUAGUGCAAUGGCAUAAGCCAGCUUGACUGCGAGCGUGACGGCGCGAGCAGGUGCGAAAGCAGGUCAUAGUGAUCCGGUGGUUCUGAAUGGAAGGGCCAUCGCUCAACGGAUAAAAGGUACUCCGGGGAUAACAGGCUGAUACCGCCCAAGAGUUCAUAUCGACGGCGGUGUUUGGCACCUCGAUGUCGGCUCAUCACAUCCUGGGGCUGAAGUAGGUCCCAAGGGUAUGGCUGUUCGCCAUUUAAAGUGGUACGCGAGCUGGGUUUAGAACGUCGUGAGACAGUUCGGUCCCUAUCUGCCGUGGGCGCUGGAGAAUUGAGGGGGGCUGCUCCUAGUACGAGAGGACCGGAGUGGACGCAUCACUGGUGUUCGGGUUGUCAUGCCAAUGGCACUGCCCGGUAGCUAAAUGCGGAAGAGAUAAGUGCUGAAAGCAUCUAAGCACGAAACUUGCCCCGAGAUGAGUUCUCCCUGAGACCUUGAGUCUCCUGAAGGAACGUUAAAGACGAUGACGUUGAUAGGUCGGGUGUGUAAGCGCAGCGAUGCGUUGAGCUAACCGAUACUAAUGAACCGUGAGGCUUAACCUU